rnacentral:rRNA from 1 species
GACGAACGCUGGCGGCGUGCCUAAUACAUGCCAGUUGAGCGCUGAAGGUUGGUACUUGUACCAACUGGAUGAGCAGCGAACGGGUGAGUAACGCGUGGGGAAUCUGCCUUUGAGCGGGGGACAACAUUUGGAAACGAAUGCUAAUACCGCAUAAAAACUUUAAACACAAGUUUUAAGUUUGAAAGAUGCAAUUGCAUCACUCAAAGAUGAUCCCGCGUUGUAUUAGCUAGUUGGUGAGGUAAAGGCUCACCAAGGCGAUGAUACAUAGCCGACCUGAGAGGGUGAUCGGCCACAUUGGGACUGAGACACGGCCCAAACUCCUACGGGAGGCAGCAGUAGGUAAUCUUCGGCAAUGGACGAAAGUCUGACCGAGCAACGCCGCGUGAGUGAAGAAGGUUUUCGGAUCGUAAAACUCUGUUGGUAGAGAAGAACGUUGGUGAGAGUGGAAAGCUCAUCAAGUGACGGUAACUACACAGAAAGGGACGGCUAACUACGUG